UACGGGGGGAGCAAGCGUUGUUCGAAUUUACUGGGCGUAAAGGGCGCGUAGGCGGCCACCGCAAGUCGACUGUGAAAUCUCCGGGCUUAACUCGGAAAGGUCAGCCGAUACUGCGGGGCUAGAGUGCAGAAGGGGCAACUGGAAUUCUCGGUGUAGCGGUGAAAUGCGUAGAUACCGGAAGGAACACCAGUGGCGAAGGCGAUCUGCUGGCCUGUUCUUGACGCUCAGGCGCGAAAGCUAGGGGAGCGACCGGG
rnacentral:rRNA from 1 species